GGAAUAGUUAAGUUCUGAAGGAUUAGUUUAAAACGAUAUGCUUAGAGAGUGGUAAUUUGCUGGGAAACCAUCAUAUUGUUUAAACGAAGGUAGUCAGGGCGCUGGAUUAGUGAAACUUUUUAAGUAGUUAAUUCCGUUUUCCGCGUUAAGGACAGAUGAGAUAGGAUAAAACUUUUAUUCUAAAUCAGGUGGUACCGUGAUUAAUUUCGCCCUGAUG
rnacentral:ncRNA from 1 species